GCGGGCCGCGGGGCGGCAGUGCCGCCUUUCCCCCCCUGAGCGGCGAAGGGGGCGCCGCGCUCCUGUGAGGGCCGCUGGGGUGCGAGCGGCCGCAGCGCGCGAGCCUGGCAUGGGAAGGCUGUCAGCGUUUCGGCUGCACCCGAGUGAAACGAUAAGCGGCUGGCUGUGAGCUCGUCGCUCUGGAAAUAAAUAAAUAGCGCGAGAUGCCUCCUGUCGGACUGCAGGUGCUGUUUUGUGUCCUGAUGAGGCAGCGGUACCAAGUACUGAUAAGUGCCAGCGUAACAAGAACCUCCUCGCAGGUGUUAAACGAGCAUAUAGGGUGCAGAGCUGCAUGGUGCCUUUGCAACAGAAAAAGACGUAGUGAAGCCGAUAGUAAUCAGGAAAUUACCUGUGGUCACCUACAGCACUCAGUCAGACGUCCCGGUUCUUGUUCUUAUUUCUGCUUCAGACAAAGCUGCUUGCAGGAGUGCUGUGUCUCACAUAGUAUCUUUCUGUCACAUAAAGCAGGGCUAAAAUGUUUUUGCUGUAAAUGCCACAGCAGUGAACUCAGCUAGUUCCGUAUGGAAGCUCCAGUUUUUAUUUUCCAGUGGAAAAUGUGCAUGCUUUUAGCUGUACAAAAGACCUCUACACAAUUACUGAAGUUUUAAAGUGUGUCUUUUUGGAAUGAACACAGAAAUAACCAGAAGCAAUUGUGCCAAGAAUUUGUGAUACCUCAUGUUAAGCAUUUAUUCAUGAUAGACCGUGUUACCAGAGUGUUUCCUACACUUGUGCAAGAAAAGUUUCUGUAAUCAUUUUUCUUUUAAGAAACAAUUUCCGAUGAGCUUCCUAAACGGCAAUAGAAGCCCAGAUUGUUCCGUGUGCAUCUAGCUUUGCCUCUGCUUUAUAUAAUUUCACUACAAUUGUCCUUGAGCAACCACUUCUCAUGCUUAUAAAAACUUUUGAAGUCUGAGCUGGAAUGUUACUGCAGUGCUGACCAUAAUUACUUUCUUACUGCUCUUCCUUUCCCCAUCUGGAUCCAUCAGCUCUCUUAGUCUAUAAACUUUCAGGACUAGAAACAAUCUUUCUGCACUCUUUUUGUAUCAAGUGCUGUGAAAGCUUAUUCUUUAUAAGCUGGAGUGCCUAAACUCUGUGAUAACAUUAAUAAUAAAGAGAUCAGAGCAAAUAAUAACCAUUCCUUUUUAUUCAUUUCACAAUUUCUCUGAUCUGAAAUACUUGAUGUCUCUCUUUCAGUUCUGAAGGCAUUUUCUCAAGAAGCUAGAACAGAUAAACUUGUUACUCACCUGAGAAAAAACCCUGGAACUUCUGAUAAAAAGGUAUCGUGGCAUGAAGGAGAGUAAUGUCACAAUGCCUGACCCAUUCCUUAGCAGAUCACAGGCAAACAUAACCCCUACUGAAUCUGGAGAGCAGCAAUGUGAAGUGCAGGAGGUUGGUGUCACCUUAAUCAUGGCUGUCUUCUCAGAGACUGACCUUGGAGUCCUGGCCCUCAGCUUGACCCACUUGCUGCAGUCUGCAUUGUUGAUAGGUAAAUGUUACAGCGUUCUCCAUGUCAAGAAGUGUUCCUGUAAAUCUCAGUGUUGUACUUACUGGGUAAAAUUUUCAAUAAUUGUCAUUUUAGUCCCACAAAACAGAUGUGAGAGAGUUGAACAAUGACUUUUCAUGUUUUAGAACUAAUCAUGUUAGUACUGAAGAGUUAUGACAUCUCUGGACUUGCAUAUUUUGAAGGCGAGAAGUGUAAAAUCCAAGAAGACAGAAUGUAACAAAAAUUAUCUUACUUUCUCUCCCUUCUUCUCAACAGUUGACAUGAUAUAGAGAAGUAGAGUACAAAUGUUGUGGAAAAUUUGGAUUGUAAGGUAUGUUGUAUAUUAACAAUAGCAUGGAAGUGCCAUUGAGAAUUAGGAAACAGUGUCAUUUGGGGAUGUAUCUCUGGCUUAUUAGCUCUUCCAGUGCCAUUGCAUUUCUUAGCUUUGACUUCAGAUACAGAGUGCUUUGAAAAAAUGCCAACAAAAUCUAAACAGUGAAGGAGACUCUUGUGGUUUUUGUGCUGUCUGAAUAGCAGAGAGAUGUGUAUUCAGCUUCAAGCUCUGCCAUCAACUUCCUCCAUCACCUCAGGCAAAUCUUCCUUUUGACCUAUCACUGCUUUGAUUGUUGAGCUCAAGCUAUUAUGUAACUAAUAUUCAGAGGAAAGGCAGAGAACUCCCAGAGCUGACAAGUUAAAGCUUUGUAAAUGCUGAGGCACAAGGCUAAGCAGGUAUGCGUGAGACUGGAAAUUGAAAAUAAAGUGCACUUUCUGGGCAGGGAAAAGUUACAAGAUAAUCAGCAGAGCAGGGCUGCACCCUGAAGGGGGGAUUCUUUUUUUUUUUAUUUUUUUGCUCCUCCUCUGUCUUUUCAUGAGAGCCAUUUGUUUAUUACAUGACCACACCGAUCUAAGAAGCUUUCCGAUCAAUUUUUGGACUUCAGCUGUAAUGAGAAAUGCUAACUCUGAUUACUGAUAAGACAUUGACUACGGGGCAAUGAUUAUCGCUUUUACACCAGCAUGUUCACCCUUGAGCUACUUUUCCUUGGUGAUACUGAAUCUGACAUUUUAGCUGGCUGUUGCUAUAUCCUCACUGCAUCGCUUCACUCAGACCCAUCCACUUUUUCUCUUACAAAAGCUAUGACUUGCUUUAUUUGGUCUUCUCUUUCUUUGAAUUCCCCAUCAGAGUGCAGAUUCUAUUUCUACUUCAUACACUUCAUUUGCCUCUGCACUUAAAAUACAGCAUGAUUUACUUCUAUCAUUAACUUUUUCCACGUGCUUCUCAGUCUGCUGUCACAGAAAUGUUGACUUUCAUCCUUACUCUUCCUUCCUCUCUGUCCCCUCCCUUCUUAUCACGUGGAUCUGUUUUAUCCUGCCUUAUUUUUCCAUUUUUGUUUCUUGAGGUUUCCUCUCAAGUAAAUGUCGGUAGUCACAGGCCUUCCCUAUCAUGAAAACACCGAUUAGAUUCCCUUCCUGUAAGCAGUGCUGUUUUUAUUCCUGUAAUCUCCAUCCUCUCCAAACAUGCUGUGCAAAUUGCUCUAAUUAUGUUAUAUAUCUCCUUCAGUAUGCCCCAUCCUCCCUCCAUCAGCUGAAGCUGCUCAUGUUGGUAUCUCUGGUUAGCGCCCCAAGCAUGAAGGCCCUUGUUUUGUUAUCACCUCUCUUAUUGAUGGACUGCCUUUGAAACUCUCAUUCCUCUUCCAAAAUCCAGUAUUCACCUCCUUUUUUUUUUUUUUUCUAAAAAAAAGGUUUCUUUCCUGAUUCCUCACUUCUACUUCUUAAAUCUUUAUUGCUUUCUUUUCUCCUGUUGAGAUAGUGAUAGGUUUCUACUUGUUAAUUUUCCUCUUAACUCUUGAUUCUUCUUGACUCUCUAUAGAUUGGCUGCCCUUAUCAACAAAUAUGUUUUCAGAUAUCAGCCUUUAACUCCUGUUUUAUCUUCCCCCUUUUGUUCCCACCUGGUGGUGUUGGAGUCUUACUGCACCUAGCACAGCAAAUCUUCAAUAGCUCAUUCCCUCCUGACUGUAUUACCUGUAGUUAUGCCUUGACGAUGAUUCUCUCUUGCUGUGACCCCUGCAGCUUUGUUUAUUCAAAGUGCUGUUGCUAAGGUGCCUCUCUCUGGUUUGUCAUUUUUGCUAUGUUCCCUCACUUCGUAAUCCUCUGGUGUUACAUUUCCUCUUUUGCUGAACCAAAGACAAUUUUCUUCUGAGUCACAGACGGCCUUUGCAGUGUAAUCUUCCUUCAUACUGGUUUAUCCUAUUGCCAUGUCAUGAGGUUAACUUCUACCUCUCUUUUGUCACCCUGGCAGACUCUUUUUGAUCCCUCUGAGAAGCAAAAGUUACUUCUUUCUGAGAGUGGGGAAAGGCUUACAGAAGGAAUUGUGCUACUUUUUGAUACAAAAUUCGUUCCUUUGGCACCACAUGCUUCCUGCUGUCCUUUACACAGCCAUGAAAAUAAAGGAUUAAAUAGCCCAGUGAUUCCUCUUCCCUCAGUCCUUUGCUCCUCUAGUCUGGCAGGGGAUCUCCUCUUCUGCUGGAAUCUCUUUGAGUUCUGUUGCCAAGACUUCAGAGCUGUCUCUGUGCAGCACUGGCUGAAGCAGAGGCACAGAGGCAGCUGCCAGCCCUGCAGAAAAAAGCUCUGGAGUUGGUGCUGGCAGGAGGCGGGAGCCGUGAAACUGCAGGAGUGAGUGCAGAGCGUGCCAGCCAGAGUUAAACACCCAUUGAUUGACUUCCGUGCUGAACUCCGCAGGGGAAUGCAAGAGCUACCCAUCAAUACUGGCAAAUCCAGGGAUUCCCCAUGAUCAUUGUGAGCAAUGCCAUACUUCUUUUGGAUUAUGAGGGUCAGGCAUCUGGGGUUUUUGUAGAAGUAUAAUACAGCAAAGGUGGAGAUCUGCUGGAACAAUGCUCCCAAACAACUCUCACCAGCUCUGAGUAACUUAAGACUGAAUGCAGUCUUCUUGACUUCAGUCUUUUUGUUGUUGUUGUUGUUGUUGUGCUGAUGUUAACAAUUGAGAUGUUUUCACAUUAUUCAUCAGCAUUCCCACUGAUUACACAAACCUUUAAAGGAAAAUACAUUCAUCUUCUGUUACCAGUCUGAAGGUUCAUGCGGUGAGAAAAAUCGCUCAUCGUGAGUAAACUGAGAAAUACAAUGCUACAGCUCCCGUGAGUCAGACUUGUCCAGUAACCAAAGGCAGAAUGCAGGCAGUACAGUACAGCACAAAGCAAAUGCUUUUAGAGGUCACACCAAGGAUAACGCAGGACAAGCAAUUGGCUCAGGAGCUGGAGAAAAGCGUCAUGAAAAACAGCCAAGUGAGAACAGGGGAAGUGGGUUAGAUGUUGCAGCAUCUCUACAUCGAAGUUGCCAGCUAAGUGCAUUUUUUUCCUGGAGACCUGCUAAAACCUAACACGACAGUAUGUUCCUUCUGUGCGAGAUGAAACAGCGGCACUGCCAGUAGGAAUAUGUCAACAUGGUAAAUUUUCGCCUCUCUGGAAGUGGGCAGCUCGAUGAUUGCAGCCUGACUGUGACACCGAGGAACAUUACUGUCGGCUCUGCUACUUCAGACCAGAGAGGAAAUGCAAAGAUUGGCAUGUGACAUAAGGAAGAUUCUCCUUUUGCCCAGCAUCACAGAGAAAAUGACUGUGGAAGAAGUCACGUUCCUCCUGACAAUGCCAUCUGCAUGACUGUGCAUCUACGGACCCACAUAACCCCUCCCCCCUGGGACCUUACAAAUAUUGACCUGGGUUAAGCCAUGGUUGGUCAGGAGGGGGCUGAUGUAUGGGAGGGGCUGGGGACAUGGCCAGGACAGCCCAAUGCUCUGUGGUGUCAUGAGGCAGGUAUGAGGCUUUGCUGGGAAGCCCAGAAGGCAAGUCAGGACCAUGAUCAAGGCCAUCAGCAUCAAAGGCCAGGUGCAGUCAGAGCAGCAAGGUGCCUCCAGCAGGUGGGGGCCUGAGCUCUGUGAAGGUCCCACCACAGCUGAAGACCCAGAGGAGGUUGAUCAUGACGUUUUCUCACAACGUGGCAGUUUUCUGUGAAGCUGCAUCCCAGGUUACAUGCCUGCACUAGAUCAGGACAGACCUUGAUUACAAAUGCUUCAAACCUGGAGGAAGACUACAGGGAAGUUAGAGGCAGCAGGUCAGUGAUGGCUUGUUAUUGUUCCCAUGUCCUGCUGUUAUUCAUAGCGCUACCUUUAGUGCUCUUGUGGAUGAGAAAUAGCAGACAUGAAAACCCUGGACGUCUUUUAGCUACAUCCUCUGAUUAACCUCCUGGAAGCUGACACAGUUCUUUGGUUUCCAAGUGAUGCCAGAGUGGAAUAAGGGCCAACCCCAUGACAGGCCCAUGUUUUAGAACAAUGAAUUAACGCAGAAAACUAGUCAUCCACAGAUCAAUCAGAAGCCUUAAUAAGAGUUUUUAGGAGGCUGAGCUUAAGAGAUUUUUGCCUUGAUUCUCCCUAAGCAAAACCUGGGUAGUCUGGAAUGGUUCUGAACUGUGUGAAUGGGUGAUGGAUGAAAGAUUCCCCAGGUACUGUGUACAAAGCAACACCACUGACCCAAAUGGUUCCUUGAAAGCUAGUCUGCUUUAUCUUGUCAGUGAUCCACAGAUAAUAGGUAUCUGGGGUAUUUUUGAACCAGGUUUUCCAAUUCAUAAGGCAGUAGGGAUGCUCUGAAUUGCCAAGUCUGGGCAAACUUUGGCACAUCUUGAAGCGUAUUUGAAGGGCUUAAAGCGAUGUCUCACAGACUUUUAUUGAACUUGUAACAGAUUGAAAGGAGGAACAGUAAGGAAAUGCAAUGGUUUUGGGCUGGGGGAAGGCAUGAGUGGGAGGAAAAUCAUGCAAUGCUCAGCCAGAUUCUUAACUGUAGAAACAAUUUUCAGGCACAGAGGUAAAGAAAACGGUUUCACAUUUUCAAGCCUUGCAAUAGCUGCACAAUGUUCUAUCAAAGUUUCUGAAUUGCUGCAGAUUCACAGUAGACUAUAUUUACAUUCGCCUGCUAGAGUGUGAAGUAAUCACACAGUAAUUUCAUAAGCAAACUUAAAAACAUUAACAGUUCUAAUUUCUGAGUGAUAGCAUAUUGAUAGUUUUGUUUCAUGUAAUUAAAAAAAGGCAGAAGGAAAAUUUCAAAGUUAAUUGCCACACUUUCAUAUAAUGAUGUGUUAUGGAAGUAAGAAACUUAGCCUUGAAAACUAAAUAAAAUCUGUCAGUGAUGGAACUUGCUUCUGAAAAACGCUUACCUCAGAUAAGACAUGUCUGUUUGUUCAAUCCAGUUAGCGUGCUCCCCCCAAACCCAGUCUUACCACAUUAUUGCUUCUUGUUUCAUGUUUAUGUGCUCCCAAAUUUAAUUCUUAUAUUACAAAAAUGUUAUUAAAUAAGCAUAGCAAAUGAAUGUAUUGCUUAUCAUACUCACAUUACUUUUUAGAGGUAGCUCUUAUGAGUGAACCACAGAAUGAGAAAGAUUUUGUCCUUUAGAGAAAGCCUAUGCAAAAUGUAAAUUUUCGUGGAUCAUUUAAGGUUUUUUCUUUUUUUUUUGCCAAACUGUAUUUUCAGAAGCAUAGAAUGCAAUUAAGAGGUCUUGAUACAUUUUAGCAACUUGUGGAUGAAUGGUUAAUGAAUGCUGUUCAUGAAUUGUUAUUAUUCACGAGUCCUUGUUAUUCAUGUCUGGAUUCUUGCUUAUUCAACUGGAACAAGAUUAGUUCAGAACAUGGACUGAGCUCACCAGUCUUCAGUGCAUGCUGUGUCUUUGCAAACAAAUUUCCGAUUUUUGAAUCAUCCUUGUUGUGGUGAAUCAUUAUGAAUCCCAAUGUGUUGCUUAGGCUUUACUUACACAGCUUUUGGAUACCCCUUCAGUGUUUUAACAAGAAAUGUAGUAACUACUGUGCCUCUCAAUAACAAGUGACAAUUCAACAGCAUACACUUUCAUAGCAGUAGAUACCAACUAAGAGAAAAUAGGAUUGCUGUAUUCUGUCAAGCUAAUAAUGUGAAUGACAAGUGUCACUCUUCCUUAGCAUCCAAAGUGGCACAGCAUAGCUGGCACACAGUGCUUGUGCCUGGUCACAUGAGACAUUUAGGUAACAGGUGGCCUGCAUCAACUAAAAUAGAUGUGUUGGAAAGGUUGCAUUGAAAUGCAUGCUGCAUACCUCUUUCUCCUAAUCUUUUCCCAUUGCACAAGCACUUUCUGUUCUAUUAAAUUCUGUAUUAAAUGAACAUUGUGUCCUAUAAGAAUUACAGCAAGAGGAAAUUAUUCUCAGUUAUCACAUUACAGAAAUGUAAAGCUAUGAAAAAUAACGACAAAUUAUUUUUUCAUGAUGUUUCUUCAUAGGAGGCUGCACUUACUGUUUUGCAUUCAUAGUUUCAAAGUUGUGCCUCCAUUACAUUACAAAAUGCAGGUGGCCUAAUUAAAGCCAAGACUUAUUAACAGUCGAGUGGGAAGAUCAAAUCGUAAUGAAAGAAAUAUUAUGAAUAAUAUAUAGUCAUUUAUACGGAGCAGAAGCUAAAAUAGGUAGGCAAAUGUUGAAUUAGUUAUCUCAAAUUUAUAGAGAGCACUUUUCCCCAUUUGAACCUUCAAAGGACCCAGUCUGUAAUACACCAUUCAUGUUUAUUGUAGCCUCUUUACCUUUUAAUCUCACCCGUAGUUCUGUUAUUCUUCAGUGUAUCUACUUAAAGGAAUGUAUAGGCCUUAAAAAAACUGUGUUCAUAUGCAUCCUAAACACUUAAAUGGUACUGGAGGCUGACCUUAGGCAAAGCACAGGCUAGCAUAUUCUGUGUGCAUGUGUUGGUGGUGGUGAUUGACUGACCGAGAAAUAAAUACAUUUCAAAAUGGAAACAGAAAUAAAUGCUUCAACGUUGAAACCUCAAA